rnacentral:misc_RNA from 1 species
AAGACUAUAGACCUGCGGAGUACCUGCGGAGGGAUCAUUAUGGAAUAAACUCGGUCGUGUUGUUGCUGGCCCUUUGGGGCAUGUGCACGCUCGACUCUUGUUUCCAUCUUCCCAUGUGCACCCUUUGUAGACUUGUGGGGUUUUUCGUUCUCGAACGAAUUUGUGGGAUUGCCGCUGCUUCUUCGGAAGCCGGCUCUCCCAUUGUCCCCCAAGUCUACGUUUCUUCUAUACACUCUGAAA